rnacentral:lncRNA from 1 species
GCUCACAAUCAAGAUUAACUUUUAAGUGCUCAGGCGUGCCACUGCCAUCUUUAGCAUGGCAAAUGUAAAAUGGAUGUUGAGUUUAGUUGCACAUAUACCCGAAAUGCUGUGUUAGUUAUGACAGGUGUCUUUGUGGGGCCUUAGGUGUAGGCCUUGAGGCUUCCGAUCACGAACUAACCCAGUACCCGAAUAUACGAUGUUUGUUUUAUUGUCUGCAGAAGUGUUAUAACCAUUAUACUUCUGAUUAUCCGAGCCCGCAGAGCAGAAUGAACCCAAAUAGGUGCCUUUGUAGGGCCUUAGAUAUAGGUCUUGAGGCUUCCCAUCAGAAUCCCUUCUAUACUCAAACGUUCUACUAUAAUCAUAAUAUAAUAGAAAUAAAACUAAGAAAUAGAUCGAUUACUUACGCCCCAAGUAACUUCGGACAUCUUGUUAUCAAAGCUUGUCGUGGAUGGGUUAAGUCCACAUAAGGUUCUUUUUUAUGCCUUGAGGCCAAGGACUUUUAAAUGAUCAAUCUUACAUGCCCGAGAGCUUAGAACUUAGAUCUGGUUUGAACUAUGAAGACAUAUUCAAAUCGGAUUCAAGAGCUGAGAGAGUCUUAUAAUAGUCAUCUUACUAGAAAUAACUUGAAUACAACUUGAAGUAUACAACAUAUUGCUAGGUUAAUGAAUGAAAAGACAAAACAAAGAGAGUUGGGCAAGGUUUAACCUUGUCAGGCAAGGCUGAUCGUCUUGCAACUUCCUAUCUUUGUGGUUUAUCAAGGGGUUUGAGAGCUUUUAGAAAGGGGGGUAGGGAGAUGAGUUUACAGAAAGAAAUUGAUACUACAGCAAGCUUAGGACAAGGUAGCAGAGCUAUUACAAAGGUUUUUGGUGAGGGUUUAUCCCAAAAGGGAUGAAGGCUUGGGCUGACUACAGCUUCGUUUGAAGGCAAAUCUGGUUUUGAGCAGAGUUUGUGCUUGUAUUUGUUUGUUUGAUUGAGUGUGUCCAACUCUGAUUUCUCUUUCUUCUUUUAUAAACACUUUGGCUUGGCCUCCUGUAGCAGUAAUCUUGCCCGAAUGCAGUUUGAAGGAUAGUGACUCAUCAGCUAUUUACUUGUACUGCCACUGUAAAGUACUUUUGGGCUGAUUAGCUGGCUGGUCUAUACCACUUGGUCUUUGGGUAGGUGAGCAAGUGGUGCAAAUGAUCUGCACCUAGUCGGGAAAUGCCUUUUCUGCCUUCUGAGC